CUCUCCUUCCAAGAUAGCGACAGGCAUGUUGUUGACUCCUGAUUGAGAGGUGAUUGUAACCGUUCUUCUCUAUGAAGGGGGAGAUAUCCUAAAAAUGUCUGGGGGAAGGGACCCGUUAGUAAUCUCUCUUUUGCAGAUAGGGACAGGCAUGCUGAAGAUGCCUGAUGGAAGUGACGUGCUGGUAACCUCUCCUUCCCAGAUAUGGAUAUCUAAAUAGUCUUACCAUAUAUAGUGUGGGAUUAAAGGAUAAUGGUGAGUAUCUGAGUAAGGAUAACAUGAAGAAAUAAACCAAGGUAACUAAAAUUAUGGUAUGAAAUACCAAAUAUGGGGUUGUAAUGAGUUUGGCAAUGUGCUUGUCAAUCUGGUCAGAACUGGAAGGAUUUGCCUUCUUGAGGUGAGAAUAGCAAACAUAACAAGAAAGUCUUGCCAGGGAAAUGGACAUUUACAGUCAUAAUGAGUGAGAAACACACAUGCGCUGUAGGCAUACGGCCAAGAACCUGAAGAGGGCCAAUAGCGAUGAACGAUUCAUGGAAAAAGAAAUGAGCUGGAACCAUCGACAAUCAGAAUUCUGGUAAUGCCAGGACACCAUAAUCUCUACAAUACUACCACUUCUACUGAUUGUGACUGUCUCAAAAUAGGUGACCGUUAUUUGUUACAGCACCACAAUUGACCUGGAGACUAAAGCUAGAGAUGUGGCACAUAUAAUUAAUAGGAACUGUACAUGUCCAUCAGGAGAUCUUCUUCGAACAGACCCGUAACUAAUCUCUCCUUUGCAGAUAGGGACAGGCAUGCUGAAGAUGCCUGAUGGAAGUGAUGUGCUAGUAACCUCUCCUUCCCAGAUAGGGCGAGGCAUAUUGCUGACUCCUGAUUGAAUGAGAUAGGGCGAGGCAUAUUGUGGACUCCUGAAUGAGUGAGGUGAUUGUAACCGUUCUUCUCUAUAAAGGGGGAGGCAUCCUAAAGAAGUCUGGACAUGUCCAUCAACAGACCUUCUUCAAAAAGAAGAUAUGCUGGAAGUGGAUCUGGGGAACAUUGCAGAGUAGUUGAGAAAGGUAAGGAUAAGGACAGGCAUGCUGAAGAUGCCUGAACAUGCCUGAAGGAAGUGACGUGCUGGCAACCUCUCCUUCCAAGAUAGCGACAG